GUGUUCCCUUCCACAGCACCUGUACUAAAGUGGGAACUGUACAGAGAUGUUAGAAUGGCCCUGAGCAAGAAUGACAUGCAAAUUUGGGAAGUAUUCCAUAUUUUU